UAAGGAAUAUUGGACAAUGGGCGCAAGCCUGAUCCAGCCAUGCCGCGUGAAGGAUUAAGGUCCUCUGGAUUGUAAACUUCUUUUAUAAGGGACGAAAAAAGGGAAUUCUUUCUCACUUGACGGUACCUUAUGAAUAAGCACCGGCUAACUCCGUGCCAGCAGCCGCGGUAAUACGGAGGGUGCAAGCGUUAUCCGGAUUCACUGGGUUUAAAGGGUGCGUAGGCGGGUAUUUAAGUCAGUGGUGAAAUCCUAGAGCUUAACUCUAGAACUGCCAUUGAUACUAUUUAUCUUGAAUAUUGUGGAGGUAAGCGGAAUAUGUCAUGUAGCGGUGAAAUGCUUAGAUAUGACAUAGAACACCUAUUGCGAAGGCAGCUUACUACGCAUAUAUUGAAGCUGAGGCACGAAAGCGUGGGGAUCAAACAGG
rnacentral:rRNA from 1 species